AGAGUUUGAUCCUGGCUCAGGAUGAACGCUUGCGGCGUGCCUAACACAUGCAAGUCGAACGAAGCGUCUCGAUAUUUUCGGAUGGAGAGAUCACUGAGUGGCGGACGGGUGAGUAACGCGUGGGUAACCUGCCUCACACUGGGGGACAACAGUUAGAAAUGACUGCUAAUACCGCAUAAGCGCACAGUACCGCAUGGUACAGUGUGAAAAACUCCGGUGGUGUGAGAUGGACCCGCGUCUGAUUAGCUGGUUGGUGGGGUAACGGCCUACCAAGGCGACGAUCAGUAGCCGACCUGAGAGGGUGACCGGCCACAUUGGGACUGAGACACGGCCCAAACUCCUACGGGAGGCAGCAGUGGGGAAUAUUGCACAAUGGGGGAAACCCUGAUGCAGCGACGCCGCGUGAGUGAAGAAGUAUUUCGGUAUGUAAAGCUCUAUCAGCAGGGAAGAAAAUGACGGUACCUGACUAAGAAGCCCCGGCUAACUACGUGCCAGCAGCCGCGGUAAUACGUAGGGGGCAAGCGUUAUCCGGAUUUACUGGGUGUAAAGGGAGCGUAGACGGUAAAGCAAGUCUGAAGUGAAAGCCCGGGGCUCAACCCCGGGACUGCUUUGGAAACUGUUUAACUAGAGUGCUGGAGAGGUAAGCGGAAUUCCUAGUGUAGCGGUGAAAUGCGUAGAUAUUAGGAGGAACACCAGUGGCGAAGGCGGCUUACUGGACAGUAACUGACGUUGAGGCUCGAAAGCGUGGGGAGCCAACAGGAUUAGAUACUCUGGUAGUCCACGCCGUAAACGAUGAAUAGUAGGUGUUGGCGGGCAAAGCCUGUCGGUGCCGCCGCAAACGCAUUAAGUAUUACACCUGGGGAGUACGUUCGCAAGAAUGAAACUCAAAGGAAUUGACGGGGACCCGCACAAGCGGUGGAGCAUGUGGUAUAAUUCGAAGCUACGCGAAGAACCUUACCAAGUAUUGACAUAGAUCGGACCGGUCUUCAACAGGACCUUCCUUUCGGGGCGGAGAAGACAGGUGGUGCGAUGGUUGUCGUCAGCUCGCGUCGUGAGAUGAUGGGGUAAGUCCCGCAAUGAGCGCAACCCCUAUCAUAUGUAGCCAGCAGGUGAAGAUGGGCACUCAUGGGAGACUGUCAGGGAUAAACUGGAGGAAGGUGGGGAUGACGUCAUAUCAUCAUGCCCGUUAUGAUCUGGGUUACACACGUGAUACAAUGGUGUAAACAAAGAGAAGCUGAUAUCCGCGAGGAUGGAGCAAAUAGUCAGAGAUAAGCGUAUCAACUCGGAAUGCAGGCUGCAACUAGCCUGCAAGAAGUUGGUAUCGAUAGUUAUGAGAGAAUCAGAAUGUCGCGGAGAAUACGGUCACCGGGUCCUGUACACACCGCCAGUCA
rnacentral:rRNA from 1 species